GGAGAAAAGCAGGGGAUCGCAAGGCCUUGUGCUCCUGGAGCGGCCGAUAUCUGAUUAGCUAGUUGGUGGGGUAAAGGCCUACCAAGGCAUCGAUCAGUAGCUGGUCUGAGAGGACGACCAGCCACACUGGAACUGAGACACGGUCCAGACUCCUACGGGAGGCAGCAGUGGGGAAUUUUGGACAAUGGGCGCAAGCCUGAUCCAGCAAUGCCGCGUGCAGGAUGAAGGCCUUCGGGUUGUAAACUGCUUUUGUACGGAACGAAACGGUUGUCUCUAAUAAAGACGGCUAAUGACGGUACCGUAAGAAUAAGCACCGGCUAACUACGUGCCAGCAGCCGCGGUAAUACGUAGGGUGCGAGCGUUAAUCGGAAUUACUGGGCGUAAAGCGUGCGCAGGCGGUUUUGUAAGUUUGUCGUGAAAUCCCCGGGCUCAACCUGGGAAUGGCGAUGAAGACUGCAAGGCUAGAAUCUGGCAGAGGGGGGUAGAAUUCCACGUGUAGCAGUGAGAUGCGUAGAGAUGUGGAGGAACACCGAUGGCGAAGGCAGCCCCCUGGGUCAAGAUUGACGCUCAUGCACGAAAGCGUGGGGAGCAAACAGGAUUAGAUACCCUGGUAGUCCACGCCCUAAACGAUGUCUACUAGUUGUCGGGUUUUAAUUAACUUGGUAACGCAGCUAACGCGUGAAGUAGACCGCCUGGGGAGUACGGUCGCAAGAUUAAAACUCAAAGGAAUUGACGGGGACCCGCACAAGCGGUGGAUGAUGUGGAUUAAUUCGAUGCAACGCGAAAAACCUUACCUACCCUUGACAUGGACGGAAGCCACGAGAGAUCGAGGUGUGCUCGAAAGAGAACCGUCACACAGGUGCUGCAUGGCUGUCGUCAGCUCGUGUCGUGAGAUGUUGGGUUAAGUCCCGCAACGAGCGCAACCCUUGUCAUUAGUUGCUACGAAAGGGCACUCUAAUGAGACUGCCGGUGACAAACCGGAGGAAGGUGGGGAUGACGUCAAGCCCUCAUGGCCCUUAUGGGUAGGGCUUCACACGUCAUACAAUGGUACAUACAGAGGGCCGCCAACCCGCGAGGGGGAGCUAAUCCCAGAAAGUGUAUCGUAGUCCGGAUCGGAGUC
rnacentral:rRNA from 1 species